rnacentral:lncRNA from 1 species
GGGAAUCACUUGGAGGUAAUAUUUUUGAUUUUAUAACUCUUUUUAUGUGAUUAAAUACCUAAUUAGUGGUGAAUUUUUUUGGAAAAAUGGGUAAUUAGGGCUUGAGUUUAAGAGAGCUAAAAAGGGGGUUUUGAGUGGUUAAUUGAACUACAAUUUUAGUGUUCUUGUUAUGCAUAGAGUCGUGAGAGUAUGAGGAUUCCAAAAAUGUAAAUUUCACCCGAUUCCGAGACGUGGGCCUGAGGGGCGUUUUGGUCAUUUUACCUGAUUUUGCGCAUUAGCUUAGAAUUUAAUUGUAAAAUCAGUUACUUCAGGUAUUAUUACAACAUGUAAUUAAGUUGAAUCGAUUUGGACCAUUUUGAGUUGAAUAUUCGUAGAAAAAACGUGUGCUUCGGGUUGACUUGCGCUUGUUCGAGGUAAGUGGCUUGUCUAACCUUGCGUGGGGGACUUUCCCCUUAGGAUUUGAUAUAUGUGUUUAAAUGCCUUGUACGUAAGGUGACGAGUGCAUACUUGUGAAAAAUAUUUGAAAUCUGGCUUUUCAUUAAGUACUACUAGUAUGGAUACUUCCCUGUUU